GUGAUGGCGUGCCUUUUGUAGAAUGAACCGGCGAGUUGCGAUUUCAUGCGAGGUUAAGCCGCAAAGGCGGAGCCGCAGCGAAAGCGAGUCUGAACAGGGCGUAUGAGUAUGAGGUCGCAGACCCGAAACCAGGUGAUCUACCCAUGUCCAGGGUGAAGGUAAGGUAACACUUACUGGAGGCCCGAACCCACGCACGUUGAAAAGUGCGGGGAUGAGGUGUGGGUAGCGGUGAAAUUCCAAUCGAACCUGGAGAUAGCUGGUUCUCUCCGAAAUAGCUUUAGGGCUAGCCUCAAGGGAAGAGUCUUGGAGGUAGAGCACUGUUUGGACUAGGGGCCCCUCUCGGGUUACCGAAUUCAGACAAACUCCGAAUGCCAAAGACUUAUCCUUGGGAGUCAGACUGCGAGUGAUAAGAUCCGUAGUCAAGAGGGAAACAGCCCAGACCGCCAGCUAAGGUCCCCAAGUAUACGUUAAGUGGAAAAGGAUGUGGAGCUGCUUAGACAACCAGGAUGUUGGCUUAGAAGCAGCCAUCAUUGAAAGAGUGCGUAAUAGCUCACUGGUCGAGUGGCUCUGCGCCGAAAAUGUAACGGGGCUAAACGUAUCACCGAAGCUGCGGAUGGACACCUUAUGGUGUCCGUGGUAGGAGAGCGUUCUAAGGGCGGUGAAGCCAGACCGGGAGGACUGGUGGAGCGCUUAGAAGUGAGAAUGCCGGUAUGAGUAGCGAAAGAAGGGUGAGAAUCCCUUCCACCGAAUGCCUAAGGUUUCCUGAGGAAGGCUCGUCCUCUCAGGGUUAGUCGGGACCUAAGCCGAGGCCGAAAGGCGUAGGCGAUGGAUAACAGGUUGAUAUUCCUGUACCACCUCACUCCGUUUGAGCGAUGGGGGGACGCAGGAGGAUAGGGUAAGCGCACAGCUGGUUGUGCGUCCAAGCAGUUAGGCCGGUGACGAGGCAAAUCCCGUCACCAUUAAGGCGGAGCUGUGACGGCGAGGGAAAGAUAGUACCGAAGUUCCUGAUUCCACACUGCCAAGAAAAGCCUCUAGCGAGGAGACAGGUGCCCGUACCGCAAACCGACACAGGUAGGCGAGGAGAGAAUCCUAAGGUGAGCGAGUGAACUCUCGUUAAGGAACUCGGCAAAAUGACCCCGUAACUUCGGGAGAAGGGGUGCUCUUUGGGGUGCAUAGCCCUGAGGAGCCGCAGUGAAUAGGCCCAGGCGACUGUUUAGCAAAAACACAGGUCUCUGCGAAGCCGCAAGGCGAAGUAUAGGGGCUGACGCCUGCCCGGUGCUGGAAGGUUAAGAGGAGGGGUUAGCUUACGCGAAGCUCUGAAUUGAAGCCCCAGUAAACGGCGGCCGUAACUAUAACGGUCCUAAGGUAGCGAAAUUCCUUGUCGGGUAAGUUCCGACCCGCACGAAAGGCGUAACGAUCUGGGCACUGUCUCAACGAGAGACUCGGUGAAAUUAUAGUACCUGUGAAGAUGCAGGUUACCCGCGACAGGACGGAAAGACCCCGUGGAGCUUUACUGCAGCCUGAUAUUGAAUUUCGGCACAGCUUGUACAGGAUAGGUAGGAGCCUUUGAAGCCGGAGCGCCAGCUUCGGUGGAGGCGUCGGUGGGAUACUACCCUGGCUGUGUUGAACUUCUAACCCGCACCCGUGAUCCGGGUGGGAGACAGUGUCAGGCAGGCAGUUUGACUGGGGCGGUCGCCUCCUAAAGAGUAACGGAGGCGCCCAAAGGUUCCCUCAGAAUGGUUGGAAAUCAUUCGCAGAGUGUAAAGGCACAAGGGAGCUUGACUGCGAGACCUACAAGUCGAGCAGGGACGAAAGUCGGGCUUAGUGAUCCGGUGGUUCCGCAUGGAAGGGCCAUCGCUCAACGGAUAAAAGCUACCCCGGGGAUAACAGGCUUAUCUCCCCCAAGAGUCCACAUCGACGGGGAGGUUUGGCACCUCGAUGUCGGCUCAUCGCAUCCUGGGGCUGUAGUCGGUCCCAAGGGUUGGGCUGUUCGCCCAUUAAAGCGGUACGCGAGCUGGGUUCAGAACGUCGUGAGACAGUUCGGUCCCUAUCCGUCGCGGGCGCAGGAAAUUUGAGAGGAGCUGUCCUUAGUACGAGAGGACCGGGAUGGACGCACCGCUGGUGUACCAGUUGUCUUGCCAAAGGCAUCGCUGGGUAGCUAUGUGCGGACGGGAUAAGUGCUGAAAGCAUCUAAGCAUGAAGCCCCCCUCAAGAUGAGAUUUCCCAUAGCGUCAAGCUAGUAAGAUCCCUGAAAGAUGAUCAGGUAGAUAGGUUCGAGGUGGAAGCGUGGCGACACGUGGAGCUGACGAAUACUAAUCGAUCGAGGACUUAUCCUA
rfam:Bacillaceae bacterium MTCC 8252 Contig29, whole genome shotgun sequence.